GGGAGAAACAUCUAAAUAUUCAUGGUAUUGUUUGAUCACACCACUACAGUAACAGAAAGCAAAUCACUACUUUCGUGGAGUGGAGGGAUGUGAGUUUCUCCAGCCCAGCCCUCAGACCAGAACUGAUGCCCUAUGUUCCAUGGACUGCAAAUAUUGAGCCUUCCCAGCCUCCUUAAGUCUUUGGAAAUUUUGGAAGAGGACGGACUGACAGCGGUGGGAAGAGUAGGAGUAGCAGGCACAGGAAGACAAAUGGAAACAGAAAUAAAGAUUGAUAGAAUGACAGACCCUCCAGACUGGUCUUGAAAAGAGCAAGAUAGAAACAUGCAGAGUCUGAUUUUAUAUAGGAAUACCAGCGACUACAUCCACAGACUGCAAGCAGGGCUCCUGCUCGGUGAUUAAUGAGAGUCUGAAGGAGAAACUGGAUUCUCCGAGGGGUGCUAUUUUGUAUUAACAAGGCAA